UUGAUAGGCAAAAAAAAAAAAGAUAAAAAAAAAGUGAAAUCGAUACCUUGUGACACCAAGAGAAAGUGAUCUGAAAAUGUCACAGGGCAGGAUGGCAAAGGGGCCCUGCAUCUGCAGCAUCAGCUUAAAUCAGCAUGUGUCAUGGGUGUUCAGCACCUUCAGAAAUUUGGCCCUUCAGAAUCUUUUCCCUUAAUCAGAGGCGCUGGAGCAUUGCCAGCUACUAAAAGGUUGGGUUAGGCAAAAGGAAGUUGGUUUAGCUUGUUGAGUCAAGUGAUUUCAUGUUACUUGCUCUAGAGGGAGGCUUUUUGUUCUGAAGGGAAUCAGUUGCCAGUGGUUAAGUUGUACUUUUAGAACGUAUAUAUUUAAUUAGGAAUCGGAAACUUGAUAGGCAGAAUGGGCAGAGGGAAAUGUUCAGUGCAUUGGUGCUUUGAGCAUGUGAGGAAUGAUUUGAAUUUGUUGAGGAAGGAGGAAGCUGGUCUGGAGCAAAUGUUCUUAAGACAAAUGAAAAAGCAUUUUAAAUCAUUGAUGAGAAAGUAUUGGUCUGUGGAACUGAAACUGCUCAGCUUCAUUUCUUCCCUAUCUAGAAAACCUACUAGCUAAGCUGGGUAAGUGCAGAUUGUAUCAACUAUUAAGCACAAGUUUUUUUCUUUGGGCAGCAUAUCUCCCUCACCUAGGAAGUCUUUAGAUGGUGGGAUAGUGGACCAUCCAUCUCGAAGUCUUUUCAGCUUCAGAGCUGCAGGUACUCCAUCUGAUAGCUGUCUGCUUCGGAGGCUAUCUGGAUUAUGGGGAAGCCCCCGCUGCAUGUUGGAUUGCUGGGACACAAGGGCUUCUACGCUCCUAGUUCCCUGUUAGUCCUGGAGACUGGUCUCUCUCAGGGUGCCCCAAAAGUCUCCAAAGAAAUUUCAGCUUGUCAGGACUUCUCCUUUUCUUUAGUGUUGCUGGCACCCAAAACCUUGAGUGCCUCAGAAGAGUGUGGUCUCCCAGAGCUGCCAGGCUGGUGGCAGUCUGAAUGCUCGAUGGUCCCAAAUCCAGGCAGAACAACCACCAGAGCUGUCUCCCCCACAUAUGCAUCUCAGAAAAUCCACUGUCUAUCCUCCUGCCAAGGAGAAUGAAUGGGAAGAAACUUCUGUCUUGAAGAUCAUUGCUUUACUUCAGGAAUUAUCCCCCAUGGAGACUGAAUGACUUGACGCUGGAGGGGAAAUAUUUGUUGUGCUAUGGAUGUGAAGCCAGCUAUCUACCUCUCUAUGGGAUGAUUUAUAGCCCACAGACUUUGGGGGUAGGAACAGGGGGAUCCUUUCAGGAAGAGAGUUCAUUGCUUUGGAGGGAAGUAGCGUGCUGGACUGACUGAGACAGCUUCUCGUGGCUGGAGUGGUUCAAGAAGUUCUUGCCCCCAACUCCUUGGUUGAGUAGCAGUCGUGCCUUUGAUGCUCCUCUCGCUUCAGUGCAAAGCCAAUGGUCUGGGUUAAUGCAGCCAGCAGCAGUGCGCUCAGCUGUGUUUUUGCAGUGGAUGCAGCAUGUUCAUGCAAUUAUUCAGGGUGGCUCAGCUAACUGCCCUGGAAGGCCAGUAAUGAAGAACUAGUAAUUAGGCUAGAUCCAGGGGAAUAAUAUGACCUCGCUCUUGGAUACUUUAAGAUAGGUACUACGUUUUUAAUAGAGAUAGACGCCAUAUAAAUAUCCAGAUAGAUUAAUGAUAUAAUGGAGGCUUUCUUGGCAUUACGGCAUCUUGAAACUGGCUACCACUGUUAGUCCAUCUGUGUUACGGAUUGCAGACCCAGGCCAAGAAAUAUUUAAGCAGAUGCUUAAAGUUAAUUAUAGAAGCAGGCCCAUUGAUUUCAAGAAGAAUGCUUACAUUUUUAAAAUCAGGCAUAUGUUAAACUGUUUUUCAAAAUGUAGGCCUAAUCCAGUAGUUUCCAUAAAAAAUAAAGCCUAGCAAACCUCAAAAUAACA
rnacentral:lncRNA from 1 species